rnacentral:rRNA from 1 species
UGCAGUCGAGCGAGGACUUCGGUUCUAGCGGCGGACGGGUGAGUAACGCGUGGGAAUGUGCCCUUCUCUACGGAAUAGCCCUGGGAAACUGGGAGUAAUACCGUAUACGCCCUAUUGGGGAAAGAUUUAUCGGAGAAGGAUCAGCCCGCGUUGGAUUAGGUAGUUGGUGGGGUAAUGGCCUACCAAGCCGACGAUCCAUAGCUGGUUUGAGAGGAUGAUCAGCCACACUGGGACUGAGACACGGCCCAGACUCCUACGGGAGGCAGCAGUGGGGAAUCUUAGACAAUGGGGGCAACCCUGAUCUAGCCAUGCCGCGUGAGUGAUGAAGGCCUUAGGGUUGUAAAGCUCUUUCAGCUGGGAAGAUAAUGACGGUACCAGCAGAAGAAGCCCCGGCUAACUCCGUGCCAGCAGCCGCGGUAAUACGGAGGGGGCUAGCGUUGUUCGGAAUUACUGGGCGUAAAGCGCACGUAGGCGGACCGGAAAGUCAGAGGUGAAAUCCCAGGGCUCAACCUUGGAACUGCCUUUGAAACUAUCGGUCUGGAGUUCGAGAGAGGUGAGUGGAAUUCCGAGUGUAGCGGUGAAAU